rnacentral:rRNA from 1 species
UACGGAGGUUGCGAGCGUUGUUCGGAAUAACUGGGCGUAAAGGGAGCGCAGGCGGUUUGGCAAGUCUAAAGUGAAAGCCCGGGGCUUAACCUCGGAAGUGCUUUGGAUACUACCAGACUCGAGUUCGUGAGAGGAAAGCGGAAUUCCAGGUGUAGCGGUGAAAUGCGUAGAUAUCUGGAGGAACACCGGUGGCGAAAGCGGCUUUCUGGCACGAUACUGACGCUGAGGCUCGAAAGCAUGGGGAGCGAACAGG